rnacentral:rRNA from 1 species
GAUGAACGCUGGCGGCGUGCUUAACACAUGCAAGUCGAACGAUGAAGCCCAGCUUGCUGGGUGGAUUAGUGGCGAACGGGUGAGUAACACGUGAGUAACCUGCCCUUAACUCUGGGAUAAGCCUGGGAAACUAGGUCUAAUACCGGAUAGGAGCGCCUACCGCAUGGUGGGUGUUGGAAAGAUUUAUCGGUUUUGGAUGGACUCGCGGCCUAUCAGCUUGUUGGUGAGGUAAUGGCUCACCAAGGCGACGACGGGUAGCCGGCCUGAGAGGGUGACCGGCCACACUGGGACUGAGACACGGCCCAGACUCCUACGGGAGGCAGCAGUGGGGAAUAUUGCACAAUGGGCGAAAGCCUGAUGCAGCGACGCCGCGUGAGGGAUGACGGCCUUCGGGUUGUAAACCUCUUUCAGUAGGGAAGAAGCGAAAGUGACGGUA